UCGUUUCUUCAGAGGACUGUCUUCUCAUCUCCCAUACCUUUCUCCAUCACUCAUAAUUAUAUAUUGAUUCGACCUAUAUUGAUUCGUCUGUUUGAUUCAAUUACAUCACCUCCACUUCAGUUUAAAUACAAUUUUCCAGUUUCAAAAUUUACAUUGACUCGGGAAUACUCAGCCGACGAAUAAUCAACCGGAGGUGACCAAGUACGCAGCUUUAAUAUAACCGCAGCUCCGAUUGCCAGCUCCACUUCUCCGGCAAAUUCUAGCACCGCAACACCGGUGAAAUCCCACAUUGUCUUGGAAAGCUUCGGGUUUUGGUCUCGGCCCUCUUAGCAAAGUUGUAUCUCGAUCUUGCCGUAAAGGUUUGUUCGAUUCAAUUAUAUCAAUCAGAUUUUUGGAACAGAUUGUUCUGAGUUUUAUUUUCUUAAAACAUAGAUGAUGUUUUAGUCAGAUCGAGAUGUUUACUAGAUGUAUAUAUACUCGGGAACAAACACUGUUGCAGAUUGAAAAUUGAAUCAUGUAAGCUAGCUGUUCAUCGGUCUUUUCUCUUGGAAGACCCACUGAAGAUCGAAAGUACUUUCAGAGUUUCAGUGAGGUUUUAGAAGUGAUGCUCCUGAAGGAUCGAGCCACUGGCUGUGCUCAUGUUUAUUUUUGUCCUCGACGAUCCCAGUUUUGCUGAGUCCUACACGUAAUUGAUGUUAAAUUGUAUGUUUUCAUCAAUUUUUUUUUUGAGCCAAUACUUCAUUACUUUAGUAUCAAUCUGCUUCUUUCAAUAGUUAGUUUUUUGGAACAGAGGUUACUGCUCCUCUAGGUAAAGCUAUAAAUUGUGUCAGUUGUGAAAGUUCUAAGUGGAGCUUCAGUUUCUGCCUUACAAUGCAUUCUUUAACAGUUUAACCUUCUGUAUUUCAAAAAAAAAAAAAAAAAAACAGUUUAACCAUCUCUACUUUAAUACUUCCUCCAUUUAUCAACAUGCACCUAAAUUUCACACGUCACAUGGAGUUAUGUCAGAUUAUGUUUCUCUCAAUUGUGCUGACCACUACUCAGCUUUGAGCUAGCCUCGGUAUGGACAUGGCUUAUCCCAAGGAAAAUAUAAAAAAGGCGGUGAUGGUCCAUCCCCACAAGAAUUUGGGGAGUGAGAGAGCAGCUGAAUCUUAUGAGAGAAUUCAGAACCCAUGAGAGUUUUACUAAACAUGUAAAUAGUGUGCUCAGAGGUGGCGUGGUGGUCCUGGCGGUGGUGGUGAAGACCGUUGCGGACAUGGUGAAGAAGAAGGAUGUCAAGGGAUCGAAAAGGAGGCGGAAUGAUUCAUCAACCAGUGACAUGGAGCGGAGACUCUGCAUUAAAUAUUUUGCGAAUGGACCCUGCGACUAUGCUAAUGAUCGCAGCAAUUGACAUGAAUCCGGUGGUAUUUGUGUCGCCAAAUUAAAUAGCGUCAGUGUUCCUCCUUUCUUCCAUUUUUCUUCUUUCUUUCCGUUUCAAGUUUUUCUUUUUUGCUUUGUAAAAUCAGUCGCUAGAUGCUACCGCCGCGAUCUAACAACGAACAGGGCUAUUAUAUUCAACUAGAGCUUAAACGUGUCUUUGGUAUCAUGAAAUUUCAGGAUUUGUUUUUUUUUGUUCGCAAGUUGUUUGAUCAUAGUUUAAAGAAGAUUUGAUGCUUGACAAUGCUUCCGGCUAUCCAGACCAAUGGUCUGCACUACGAAUCAAAUUCUGGAUUCA